rnacentral:rRNA from 1 species
GACGUAGGAGGCGAGCGUUAUCCGGAUUCACUGGGCGUAAAGCGCAUGUAGGCGGUUGCACAAGGCCGUUGUUAAAGCCCCUGGCUCAACUGGGGGAGGUCAAUGGAGACUGUGCGACUUGAGGGCAAUAGAGGCACGUGGAACUCCCGGUGUAGCGGUGGAAUGCGUAGAGAUCGGGAAGAACACCAGUGGCGAAGGCGACGUGCUGGGUUGCACCUGACGCUGAGAUGCGAAAGUGUGGGGAGCAAACGGG